rnacentral:rRNA from 1 species
GUACACGCUGUGACUAGCAUAUCAAUAAGCGGAGGAAAAGAAACUAACAAGGAUUCCCUCAGUAACGGCGAGUGAAGCGGGAAGAGCUCAAAUUUGAAAUCUUCAAGGUUUUACCUUGACGAAUUGUAGUUUAAAGAAGUGUUUUCUGCUGAAGUUUUGGUAAAAGUUCUUUGGAAUAGGACAUCAUAGAGGGUGAGAAUCCCGUAUUUGACCAUUAUUUUCAGCUUUGUGAUACACUUUCAAAGAGUCGGAUUGUUUGGGAAUGCAGUCCCAAAAUGGGUAGGUAAAUUUCAUCUAAGGCUAAAUAUUGGCGAGAGACCGAUAGCGAACAAGUACCGUGAGGGAAAGAUGAAAAGAACUUUGAAAAGAGAGUUAAAUAGUACGUGAAAUUGUCAAAAGGGAAGCGUUUAACACCAGUGUUGUUUUCUGAAAAUCAACCUCUGUUAGCUUUAUGCAUGUUUGUUUAGACCUAAUCAGCUAUCUUUCAUGUUCUAUUGUUUGCAGUGGUGCACUUUUCAGUUUACAGGUCAAUAUCAGUUUUUUUUACCGUAAAAAAGUUAAAGAAAGGUAGCUCAUGGCUCCGGUCGUGAGUGUUAUAGUCUUUUUCCUAUGCGGUAGGAGAGACUGAGGUCUGCAGUGUAGGCUAUUUGGCUAGAUACUCAGGUGCUAUGUGAUACCAUUUCAUAAACAACUUGUUGAUUAUGUUUUGUCUAUUGCAUACUCGCUUGUACUAUCAUACCUACGCUUAGGAUGUUGAGUAGCGACAUACGCAC